rnacentral:rRNA from 1 species
UUAAUUAAAAGUAUUUAAUAUUAUUAUACACGAAGUUGGAGGAGCUAAUUAUUUUAUAUUUAUAGAUGUCAAUAUGUCGCAAAAUCAAGUAAGUAAUAAUUAGGAGUGAUAGGCUUAUCAUAUUCAACGAUAACUUGAUGGUUGAGAAAAGUAUAAAGUACAUAGGCACUUUUAAAAUGAUAAGGUUUUAAAGUAAGACAAAUGGUUUUAUUAAAUGUGUAUAUUAUUUAACCACUAAUACAGAAGCAACAUAAUAUUAAUUUAUUUUAACUUGUUGAUAUUAGAAACCGAUUUGAAAAUAAUAAUAUAAUAUAUAUAAUGUUGAUAUAAGUAUUGAGAAGUUGUAUAUAAUGAACUCGGCAAUAAGUCUUUCAACUGUUUAUCAAAAACAUAGCUAUGUGAAAUAAUACAUAGUGUUUUCUGCUCAAUGAAUAUUAAAUAGCCGCAGUACCCUGACUGUGCUAAGGUAGCGCAAUCAAUUGACUUUUAAAUGGAGUCCAGUAUGAAGGAAAUAAUGGAGGGCUACUUUCUAAUUUACAAUUGCAGAAUUUACUUAAGAAGUGCAAAUUCUUCUACAUUAACAAUAGACGAGAAGACCCUAGAAAUUUGUAGAAGCAACUUUUUGUUGGGGCAACAAAGUAGUAUUAGUAAAUCUACUAUUUUGACAAGAAAAAUAUAUUUUGGAAGAUAAAAUUACUCUAGGGAUAACAGCAUAAUUAAUAAUAGUUUGUGACCUCGAUGUUGGAUUAGGGAAUUUACAUUUAGAAG